AAUCCCUGGCAGUAGACAAAGAGACACUUAUUUGUUGGUGUUCUUACAGUCAGGGGCAGAGCAGAUGGCAGUCCUUUGUUCAUUUUAGCUUGAUGCCUGGCUUGGAAGCCAAAGCUGUUUCAUACCUGGGACACAUAA